rnacentral:rRNA from 1 species
ACGAACGCUGGCGGCGUGCUUAACACAUGCAAGUCGCACGCUGAAGCUCAGCUUUUGUUGGGUGGAUGAGUGGCGAACGGGUGAGUAACACGUGAGUAACCUGCCUCCUUCUUUGGGAUAACGCCCGGAAACGGGUGCUAAUACUGGAUAUUCACUGGUCUUCGCAUGGGGGUUGGUGGAAAGGGUUUUUCUGGUGGGGGAUGGGCUCGCGGCCUAUCAGCUUGUUGGUGGGGUGAUGGCCUACCAAGGCUUUGACGGGUAGCCGGCCUGAGAGGGUGACCGGUCACAUUGGGACUGAGAUACGGCCCAGACUCCUACGGGAGGCAGCAGUGGGGAAUAUGGCACAAUGGGCGCAAGCCUGAUGCAGCGACGCCGCGGGAGGGAUGGAGGCCUUCGGGUUGUGAACCUCUUUCGCUAAUGGUCAAGCCGCAACAAUGGUUGUGGUGAGGGUAGUGGGUAAAGAAGCGCCGGCUAACUACGUG